rnacentral:rRNA from 1 species
UACGGGGGGGGCAAGCGUUGUUCGGAAUUACUGGGCGUAAAGGGAGCGUAGGCGGUGUGGCAAGUCUGAUGUGAAAUCUCCGGGCUUAACCCGGAGCGGUCAUCGGAAACUGCCAUGCUAGAGUGUGGGAGAGGAGAGUGGAAUCCCCGGUGUAGCGGUGAAAUGCGUAGAUAUCGGGGGGAACACCAGCGGCGAAGGCGGCUCUCUGGACCACAACUGACGCUGAGGCUCGAAAGCUAGGGGAGCAAACAGG